ACGGGUGAGUAACGCGUAAGAACCUGCCCUUGGGAGGGGAACAACAACUGGAAACGGUUGCUAAUACCCCGUAGGCUGAGGAGCAAAAGGAGAAAUCCGCCCAAGGAGGGGCUCGCAUCUGAUUAGCUAGUAGGUGAGGCAAUAGCUUACCAAGGCGAUGAUCAGUAGCUGGUCCGAGAGGAUGAUCAGCCACACUGGGACUGAGACACGGCCCAGACUCCUACGGGAGGCAGCAGUGGGGAAUUUUCCGCAAUGGGCGAAAGCCUGACGGAGCAAUGCCGCGUGGAGGUGGAAGGCCUACGGGUCGUCAACUUCUUUUCUCGGAGAAGAAACAAUGACGGUAUCUGAGGAAUAAGCAUCGGCUAACUCUGUGCCAGCAGCCGCGGUAAU
rnacentral:rRNA from 1 species